rnacentral:rRNA from 1 species
CAGCCGCCGCGGUAAUACGUAGGGUGCAAGCGUUAAUCGGAAUUACUGGGCGUAAAGCGUGCGCAGGCGGUUUUGUAAGUCUGUCGUGAAAUCCCCGGGCUCAACCUGGGAAUGGCGGUGGAGACUGCAAGGCUAGAAUCUGGCAGAGGGGGGUAGAAUUCCACGUGUAGCAGUGAAAUGCGUAGAUAUGUGGAGGAACACCGAUGGCGAAGGCAGCCCCCUGGGCCAAUACUGACGCUCAUGCACGGAAGCGUGGGGAGCAAACAGGAUUAGAUACCCGAGUAGUCCCUGUCUCUUAUAC